rnacentral:rRNA from 1 species
UACGGAGGGAGCUAGCGUUGUUCGGAAUUAUUGGGCGUAAAGCGCGUGUAGGCGGCUUUGCAAGUCGGGUGUGAAAGCCCUCGGCUCAACCGAGGAAGUGCGCCCGAAACUGCAGAGCUUGAGUACCGGAGAGGAUGGCGGAAUUCCCCAAGUAGAGGUGAAAUUCGUAGAUAUGGGGAGGAACACCGGUGGCGAAGGCGGCCAUCUGGACGGAUACUGACGCUGAGACGCGAAAGCGUGGGUAGCAAACAGG